UACAGCCAUAUCAAGUUGAAACACCUAGUCCCGUACGAUAACCGAAGUUAAGCAGCGUCGAGCCUGGUCAGUACUUAGAUGGAUGACGGCUUAGGAAUACCAAGA